AGUGAACGCUGGCGGUAGGCCUAACACAUGCAAGUCGAACGGCAGCACAGUAAGAGCUUGCUCUUACGGGUGGCGAGUGGCGGACGGGUGAGGAAUACAUCGGAAUCUACUUUUUCGUGGGGGUUAACGUAGGGAAACUUACGCUAAUACCGCAUCCGACCUACGGGUGAAAGAGGGGGAUCUUCGGACCUUGCGCGAUUGAAUGAGCGGAUGUCGGAUUAGCUAGUUGGCGGGGUAAAGGCCCACCAAGGCGAGGAUCGGUAUCUGGUCUGAGAGGAUGAUCAGCCACACUGGAACUGAGACACGGUCCAGACUCCUACGGGAGGCAGCAGUGGGGAAUAUUGGACAAUGGUCGCAAGCCUGAUCCAGCCAUACCGCGUGGGUGAAGAAGGCCUUCGGGUUGUAAAGCCCUUUUGUUGGGAAAGAAAAGCAGCAGGUUAAUACCCCGCUGUUCUGACGGUACCCAAAGAAUAAGCACCGGCUAACUUCGUG
rnacentral:rRNA from 1 species